rnacentral:lncRNA from 1 species
GAGUAUAAAAUAAUAAUUUAGAAAUCAAACAAAAACUAUUUAUACAAGUUUGUUAGCAGCAAUUUUUCUAGAGGGAGAAAGAGAUAAGACAUGUUCUUGACCGCUUUAUCAGAAUAUUUUUCUUGGGUUUACACAGGAAAAAAACAAAGUCGUCUUCUAAUAUUUUAAGGUAGACGAAACUUUACAAACUAUAAUAAUAAGAAAAUAAAUAUCAUUUUGCUUCUUCUCUACAAACUCCAUUUUCUCCAAUAUCCUCAAGUCUUGAACCCUCUCCACUUCAAUAUAGCCGACCUCCUCUCUCUCUCUCUCUCUUUCUGAAAAUACCAAAAGUAGCUUUAAAUGCUCCGUUACAUAAUCUCUAUCUCUUUUCAAGAAUAUAGAGAAAGAAAAAUAAUAGUUAUAUAGAAGAACAGCUAUAAGAACAUAUCACCUAGAAGCCACCGUCAUCAUAAGCUUGCUGCCUCAGGUGAAGACCAACAUAAGAGAUCUAUCAUCAUCUUUCUGCUGUUACUAUCACACUCGUUCAAACAGCAUCCACAGACUUCAACCAUCAC